AGAGUUUGAUCCUGGCUCAGGACGAACGCUGGCGGCGUGCCUAAUACAUGCAAGUCGAGCGGAUUCUUCCAAGGAGCUUGCUCCGAGGAAGGGUUAGCGGCGGACGGGUGAGUAACACGUAGGCAACCUGCCCGCAAGCCUGGGAUAACAUUCGGAAACGAAUGCUAAGACUGGAUACGCAUUUCCCUCGCAUGAGGGGG
rnacentral:rRNA from 1 species